GGCUCAGAGCGAACGCUGGCGGCAGGCUUAACACAUGCAAGUCGAGCGGGCGUAGCAAUACGUCAGCGGCAGACGGGUGAGUAACGCGUGGGAACGUACCUUUUGGUUCGGAACAACACAGGGAAACUUGUGCUAAUACCGGAUAAGCCCUUACGGGGAAAGAUUUAUCGCCGAAAGAUCGGCCCGCGUCUGAUUAGCUAGUUGGUAGGGUAACGGCCUACCAAGGCGACGAUCAGUAGCUGGUCUGAGAGGAUGAUCAGCCACAUUGGGACUGAGACACGGCCCAAACUCCUACGGGAGGCAGCAGUGGGGAAUAUUGGACAAUGGGGGCAACCCUGAUCCAGCCAUGCCGCGUGAGUGAUGAAGGCCCUAGGGUUGUAAAGCUCUUUUGUGCGGGAAGAUAAUG
rnacentral:rRNA from 1 species